GACAUCCUAUUGACUAUUUUUAUGACCAUACUACCCAUCACAAUCACCACCGCCCUGCCUGUGUGUGUUCUGCAACACCAUCACCAACCUUUGCUUCUCUCUCUCUCUUUCAUCAUUGCCAACCCAUUACAACAACCUUACAAUAUUCAUCAUCAAACAUGAACCCCACUCUCUCUCUCUCUAGCCCCAAAUCUCCCCACUUCUCUUUCUCUCUCCUCUCCACACAUUUCCUCUCUCCUCUUCGAACCCCAUUCUCUCUUUCAAGCCCUCAUGCACUCCGAUUCCUCUCUCUCUCUCUCUCUACCUUUCUUUUUCCCCUUUCUCUCUCAUCCUCUCACACAGUUACAAGGAUAAAUGUUGUAUGGGGUACCUUUAUCUUCUUGCUCAAACACAACAUGGAUUCCAAAAAUUGAUUUGAAGAUGAAACCUGGAUUUGGAACUAGAGACUAGAACUACCUGUGCGCAAUCGAAGAAAUUUGUCUUUUUCUAUACUGGAACAAUCUGGUGCUCCAAGAAACUCGUUGACCCAGUCAUGGUCUUCUUCUUCGGGAGCUGCUCAAAUCUAGCCACCGUCGUCGUCAGAGUUGAAGACAACCAGACGGCCAAGAAUGAAUUGCCGCCAUCACCGACGUUACAGCGCAUUCAACCCACGCGGCGCCGUCAUGAACCACCUCGAUCUGCGGUAGUGGCGGCGACCACGCUUCAACACUCUCUCCUCAGAUUCUUAUCCCCCACUCUCUACACUCUGCUUCUUUCAUGCCAUCCGACGACACAGUGAUUCCGGUGAAUGAUAUCGUCGGACUCCUCUGGGCCGAGAUCUGAUACGUGUGUGGUGGAGGACUGUCCUUAGCAUUCUGUUGUUGAUUUCGGUGUGCGUUCUAUUGUUGAUUUCGGUGCUAUGUUGUGACAGGGACGAAGGUGAAGGCUUGUUGGUGGUUGUGGGUAUUGUCAAUUUGGUGGUGGAGCUGUGAUGAUGCGGCGGCGACGUGGAGGUAGAGUUGCCGCCGGGUAUUUUAAUAUAUACGGACAGAGGAAGUUGUGGGUGGUGGGGUUAAAGAUGGUGGCGGCGCAUGUACAAAUAGUGCGUAUAUACAUAGGGCAUUUUUGUCAUUUAAAAUUAUACAUAUUUUGUAUUAAAAAAAUUGAGGGUAGAAGGGUCGAUUUA